rnacentral:rRNA from 1 species
UACGGGAGGCAGCAGUGGGGAAUAUUGCACAAUGGGCGCAAGCCUGAUGCAGCCAUGCCGCGUGUAUGAAAAAGGCCCUUCGGGUUGUAAAGUACUUUCAGUCGUGAGGAAGGUGUUAAGGUUAAUAACCUUAGCAAUUGACGUUAGCGACAGAAGAAGCACCGGCUAACUCCGUGCCAGCAGCCGCGGUAAUACGGAGGGUGCGAGCGUUAAUCGGAAUUACUGGGCGUAAAGGGCACGCAGGCGGUUAAUUAAGUUGGAUGUGAAAUCCCCGGGCUUAACCUGGGAAUGGCAUUCAAGACUGGUUAGCUAGAGUCUUGUAGAGGGGGUAGAAUUCCAUGUGUAGCGGUGAAAUGCGUAGAGAUGUGGAGGAAUACCGGUGGCGAAGGCGGCCCCUGGACAAAGACUGACGCUCAUGUGCGAAAGCGUGGGGAGCAAACAGGGAUUAGAUACC